CCAGCAGUACCCCCCAAACUCUCAAGUUCUGGGUCUCCCCACCCAGGGGAGACCCCACCCUCUAACCCCACCUCACCUCAGUCUGGGCUACUGCCACUCCCCACUUAGCCCCUUAUAUCAGGGGCUGACUGCAGUGUAUACGCCACUCAUCACAGGCAAGGGGGUUUUGGACCUGCUGCCUCUGCAUACCCAUGGGCUGUCCCCCUGCACCUAUUCAGCCUACAGCCUGAGGCUUUCCAGGCUGGAGCUCUCAGCUCCUCUGGCCCUUCCCCAGCCCUGCUCCAAUCUAGGUGUCCUGCUCAGUACCUUACAGCUAGGCCCUUCUCCCUCACAGCCUCUUAUAUGGGCUAGCUGGGCCUGACUGAACUGGCCACAGCUGCAGCUGCUCCCUUAAUCAGCCUGGACUUUUCCCCACAGCCCCAGCUCUCUCCCAGGGCUGGAGUGGGUAAUCACCCCGCUACACCCCCUUUCAGAGAUCAUUAAUAAAUAUAUUAAACAAUACUACUCCUAGUACAGAAACAUCUAGCACUCCACUGUUAAGCUUUUGCCAUGUUGAAAAUUGACCAUUUUUCCUAAUCUUUCUUUUUCUAUUAGCCAAUUUCAAAUCCAUGACAGUACAUUACUUCUCAUGCCAUGACCACUUCGUUAUUUAAUAGCUUCUUGUGAGGGACUUUGUCAAAUGCUUUUUGAAAAUCCAAAUAAACUAUAACCACUGGAUUUCCUUUAUCCACUAUCUAGGAGAGCCUGGAGUGUUUUCCCUUGGAAAAUGUUUGAAAAUACCUGCCAUCUGGUACAAUCUGAUGCAGUCCACAGACAAGAGAUUUUGCUCCUCUGAGGCAUUUUUAUGAGCUUCAGGAUGUGCUGUUGGCCUGUUAACCCAGCCUUGCAGAAAAACAUCUCCACACAAACUAAAGAUAUGACUUGUCCCUUCCAUUCACUCUCUGAGCUGAGAAUACUGCUCCCCUCAUCCCCAUUUUUCUCAAUGAAGUAUGAAUUGCACAGAGCACACACACGUAAACUAAUCAAGGAAUCCAUUUGCAACCUGAACAGUUUUAUGAUUUAGGUCCAAUCCACUCUGCAACUUAGUGGAUAUCUGUGUUGUAACCUAGUCCCCUAGCCCAGCUUUAUGUAGUGUAGAAGGGGUCUUUUCUCUUUUUCUCAUGUAGUGCCCUUUCCCCCCACCCCCAAAUCUGGAUGCUCCCUGGAUGCCAUGAAGUGCUUGUUUACAUGGGGAUUUAUAAUAGUUAUUCCUGAUUAGUGUGGAUGCUUUUAUAUGGUGACAUGCCACCAAGCACCCUUGCUUUCAGACCCUGCAAACUAUUGUAAUAAUAUUUGACAGAAUAUGCCUUGUGAGGUAUCAUUUGAAAACUAACUCACUGAUAAUUAAUGUUCUUUUGUGAUGUAUAUACCUUAUGUGUAUUAAGAAUUAUGAAUAUAUGCUGGAAUUUUGACUAAAGUAUGGUAUGUCAGUGGACAAGGGGUAUCAGAGGGUUAGCCAUGUUAGUCUGUAUCCACAAAAACAAUGAGGAGUCUGGUGGCAUCUCAAAGACUAACAGAUUUAUUUGGGCAUAAGCUUUCGUGGGUAAAAACCACUUCUUCAGAUGCAUGGAGUGAAAAUUACAAAUACAAGCAUAAAUAUACUGGCACAUGAAGAGAAGGAAGUUACCUUACAAGUGGAGAACCAGUGAUGACAAGCCCAAUUCAAUCAGGGUGGAUGUGAUCCACUCCCAAUAAUUGAUGAGGAGGUGUCAAUACCAAGGGAAGAAUUCCACCUGGAUUUCAACAAUUUCUACCCCACCAUCAACCUCAGCCUGGACCAGUCCACACAAGAGAUCCACUUCCUGGACACUACAGUGCAAAUAAGUGAUGGUCACAUAAACACCACCCUAUACCGGAAACCUACGGACUGCUAUUCUUACCUACAUGCCUCCAGCUUCCAUCCAGGACACAUCACACAAUCUAUCGUCUACAGCCAAGUUCUAAGAUACAACCAUAUUUGCUCCAAUCCCUCAGACAGAGACAAACACCUACAAGAUCUUUAUCAACCAUUCUUAAAACUACAGUACCACCUGGAGAAGUGAGGAAACAGGUAGACAGAGCAAGACAGGUACCUAGAAGUCACCUACUACAGGACAGACCCAACAAGGAAAAUAACAGAACACCACUGGCCAUCAGGUAUAACCCCCAGCUAAAAUCUCUCCAGUACAUCAUCAACGAUCUACAACCUAUCCUGGAAAAUGAUCCCUCAUUCUCACAGACCUUGGGAGACAGGCCAGUCCUCGCUUGCAGACAGCCCUCCAACCUGAAGCAAAUACUCAGCACUGUAGGGGCAGAAUUUUAGAAUUACACUAUAGGAAUUGAUGUAUAAUUUUAUUUCAUCCUGCUAGUCACCCCAUUUGAAUAGCAGAAAGGAAUGACCCUCUGGGACUAUGAGAUUCUGUUUUCCCAUAUGCAUUACAAAUUGGCCCCUCUUUAGUUCUUUGUUUUAAGGUUUAGUUAGUAAGAGACAGGAUUCUGUAUUGUGUCUAUGUUAAGUAGAUUAGAGGAACACUGAAGGCCUGGGUCUCAAUGUAAAUUGUCUUGGUUAUUGAUUGUAAAACUUAGCAAGGUUUAAUUUGCAAUGCCUUUUUGCGCGAUAUAAAAUACUACUGUUUGUAUUCUCAAAGUCUCUGUAAAAGACUGUUUGGUCUCUGUAAGAGACUGCUUGUGUGAAUGACGAAUGCAUGCAUCAGGAAAAGAUAAGGUGUGAAGGCCAUCGUUAACCAGAUGGUCAAGAAAGGAGGAGCGAAGACAGUUAUCGAGAUUUGUUGACGCCAAAGAACCAUCAACACGUAUCCAUGAUUGAGGAAGGGCAAAUUGACAACCCUGAGGUGAAAGCUGGCACCUCUAAAGACAAUUCAAUUGAAACCAGGACAGGAUGACCCUCUCAGAGGUGUUUUGGAAUGCUAACACCAAUCAAGGAGUAACCGGUCAGAAACUGACACAGCAAAAUCUAUAGACUUCAACAGAGAAAAAGGACUAUAAGAACAAGAUGCUUUGGCAUGGGACUUUGGGUUCAUCUUGCCACACUCCAGGAGCACCGGAUCGCGACUGACAAAGCCCUGCUCCCCUCUGCAACUGAUCUGGCUGGCCACUAGAUUGAUCCAGACUCUGGACUGGUAACUAUAAACAUCAACUGGCAGGACCCUGUGUGUGUGUGUGUGAGAUUGAAAAGCAUAUGCUAACUGCUGUAUUCUCAAUAAAUGCGGCGUGCUACCUUCUUCCCUAUAAAGAUCCCGUGUGCUUCUUAUAAGUAUAAGAUUUUUGGUGGAAAAUUGCUAAAGGGGGAAGAGUAUAUGUGCUGUAAUUAUUGACAAUACUGCUAAGUGAUUGAUCAUUCAGGUGUGCACACCCCUGGUCAUAGAGAUACCGGGCAGUGAAAAGGGAACCAGGUGUGGUUAAUAUUGUAUUCACUGUUGGUAUUUUAUGAACUGAGAAUUUGUAUGAUUAAGAUGUAUACACACCCUCGGUCAUAGAAGGGCUGAGAGACAGGAGAGAGGUUUAGCAUCCCUCCCUCCACCCCGACUGCUGGGGGGAAAUAAUUGGAGGUGGGUAUACCCCCGGUCGUAGAAGUGCCGGACAAUAGGGGGAGGAUUAGAGUCCUUGCUCCGGCCCAUCUGUCAGGGAAAACUAUAAAAACCAUAGGUGCAUACACCCUCGGCCGUAGCAAGACUGAGCAUAAGAGGAGAACUUAGGGUUUCUUGCUCUGCCCCUGGGAGGGAUUUUUAUAUUUGGUGUAUGAACUCUCGGUGGUAGAAGGCCAAGCAAUACAGAGGGGGACUUAGCGUUUCUCCCUCUGGCCCAGAGUGGGUUAAGAUAAUAAGCCCCGGCACUGGCAUGGGCAACAGGGUGAAGAAAGGAAUUUGUAAGCCCCGGCACUGGCACAGGCAAACAUAAGAUCUUAAUUAAGGUAAUUAGAAAUAACAACCAAACACCUUAGAUCCAAAAUGUUCAGAUGAAAAGAGUCCCGUAAGGAGAAUACUCAGGCAGAACUAAAAAAGCUGCCGGGUGUGCAAGAGAUCAUUCCUUUUAAACAAAUCUUGCAGAAAUUUGGCCACAGCCCAUGGACAGAACAAGCAAUAGCCAAUUUCCACACAAUAGCCGACUUAGAAGAUAAACUGGCAAAUAUUUGUUGAUUUAUAAACCUUUAAAUCCAGCAAAAUUAAAAACCCUUUUUUAUAUACUUAACACCAUUAUAAAUGCUGGAGGCAAAGCGGGGUUUGGGGUGGAGGCUGACAGCUCAUGACCCCCCAUGUAAUAACCUCGCGACCCCCUGAGGGGUCCCAACCCCCAGUUUGAGAACCCCUGUACUAAUGUGAUAUAUGCCAUCAUAUGCCAGCAAUGCCCCUCUGCCAAGUACAUUGGCCAAACCGGACAGUCUCUAUGUAAAAGAAAAAAUAGACACAAAUCAGACAUCAGGAAUGGUAACAUAUGAAAGCCAGUAGGAGAAUACUUCAAUCUCUCUGGAUAUUCAAUAACAGAUUUAAAAGUAAAGGAGUACUUGUGGCACCUUAGAGACUAACCAAUUUAUUUGAGCAUGAGCUUUCGUGAGCUACAGCUCACUUCAUCAGAUGCAUACCGUGGAAACUGCAGCAGACUUUAUAUAUACACAGAGAAUAUGAAACAAUACCUCCUCCCACCCCACUGUCCUGCUGGUAAUAGCUUAUCUAAAGUGAUCAACAGGUGGGCCAUUUCCAGCACAAAUCCAGGUUUUCUCAAAAGUAGCCAUCCUGCAACAAAAAAACCCUUCAAAAACAGACUUCAAAGAGAAACUGCAGAAAUGCAAUUCAUUUGCAAACUUAACACCAUUAAUUUGGACUUGAAUAGGGACUGGGAGUGGCUGGCUCACUACAAAAGCUAUUUUCCCUCCCUUGGUAUUGACAUCUCCUCAUCAAUUAUUGGGAGUGGACUACAUCCACCCUGAUUGAAUUGGCCUUGUCAUCAUUGAUUCUCCACUUGUAAGGUAACUCCCUUCUCUUCAUGUGCCAGUAUAUUUAUGCUUGUAUCUGUAAUUUUCACUUCAUGCAUCUGAAGAAGUGGUUUUUUACCCAUGAAAGCUUAUGCCCAAAUAAAUCUGGUCGUCUUUAAGGUGCCACCAUAAUCCUUGUUGUUUAUAUCAGGGGAAUUGUUAAACAGGUCUAUCAAAGGAAUAUGUAUUUGAUUUUCUGACAAGCCCAAUAUUCAGACGAAGAUAAUGAAGGUCCAUUUUAACACAUAAGCAGUAGACAGACCAUCAAGACAGCAGGGGGAGAAGAUGGCAGGAAACAGAACAAUUUGCAUUUCAGCAAACACAAGGAGGGGAAAAAAGAGCAUGGAACUUCCUUCACCGCCAGACUCCAUGUUGUCUUCCUCACUGCUUGAAUAAACUUUACUUUGAGGGGUAACUCUCAGAAGAAUCCAUUUCAAAGGUUCACUGGUCUAAAAAGAUAUGGGAUCUGAAUCUCAAGUGAUAAGCAACUGAAUCAACUGAUUGUAUACAAUGUUAUCGUAUUAUAAGAGUGAGGUCUCUUCUGAAAGCUAAUGACACAUUGGUGAUUAAUAUAAUUGUGAAAUGUAUGUAAUAACACUAUGUAAGGAGUUAUGUAUAGCAAUGGAUAUUAGGCUGUACAAUCUGCCCAGACAGGUGGGAAUGUCAAAGCUAUCUACCUGUCUCUUAUGUAAAUUAAGCAUGGUGGAAUGAGAAACAAUGGAAGCCCCAUUUACACAGAAAUCAUACAGCAGGAUGGGAAGCUCACAGAAAGGGAAGAACAGCAUGAGUUCAUCCUGCCACUUGAAAGAACUGAACUUUGGAAGAUAUAAGCCAGGAGAGAAGCCAUCUUGGGCAUCCAUCACUAGACAGACAGAAGAGGCCAGAGCUCUUGCAAGCUGAGAAAGAUGGAUCCUUCAAAGAAGGGGGAAGGAGAGAAGCUGAACUCUCUGGAACUGAAUAUAGGUGAGAAAUUGGCUUAGGGAAAGAUCUUUCGUCUGCAAAGACCAGGGAAACCAAACCCAUUUGCUUUGUGGAAGGUCCUGACUGACGGAAAGUCAGCCAUGGCUGAGAAGAAGAAUGACUAGUGAGAGAAACCAUCUUGAACAAAGCCUUUAUCUUGCUAGAUUAAGUAUUAGACUUUUAGAUGUGUGUUUUCAUUUUUAUCUGCUUGUAACUAUUUCUAACUUUAAUCCUUUUAUGUAACAUCACUGUCUCCACCUAUGUCUUAUUGUUAAUAAAUUUGUUUUAUUUUACUAUAA